rnacentral:rRNA from 1 species
CACGCUGUAAACGAUGAGAACUAAGUAUUGCCGUGAGGCAGUGCUGAAGCUAACGCAUUAAGUUCUCCGCCUGGGGAGUACGGUCGCAAGACUGAAACUUAAAGGAAUUGACGGGGCCCC